AGGCUGGGGGGUGACCAACAGACAGCGUUACAACCAGGCUCAUGAGCGGUGAAGAUACGGGUAUCACAAGAGCCAUCAUCUUUGAAUUCUAACACAGAAACUUUUCCGUCUGAACUUGCACAAGCUAAUAGAGCACCAUACUCAUGGGGGGCCCAGGAGACAGCAUUAACAGAUGCUUGGUGAGCUGUAUGAUCCAUUAACUCACUCCAAACACCGCCAGUUUCGCGCCAAACAAUAACAUGUCCGUCAUAAGAAGCAGAGGCUAGGAUAGUACCAA